AGCCAGGUCGGUUUCUAUCCUCAAUUUUUUAAUAUUUUUUAGUACGAAAGGACCAUUAAUAAAUAAAAAUUUUAUUACUUCUUUGAACCCUAUUAA
rnacentral:rRNA from 1 species